AAGAGGUCCAGCUCCCAGUGACAAUUAAACGGCUGUGGUACUCUGACCACACAAAGGUAGCGUAAUCACUUGUUUAAAUGGGGACUUGUAUCAACGGCAUCACGAGGGCUGUACUGUCUCCUUUCUCCAAUCAAAUGAUCUUCCCGUGAAGAAGCGGGAAUUAACUAAUAAGACGAGAAGACCCCAUGGAGCUUUAAACUCACUAUGCACCUCUGCCCACCUAUACCAUUUCAGCCUAUGAGACCUCAUUAAGCUUUAGGUUGGGGCGACCACGGAGUAAAAAUUAACCUCCACGACGAAUGGGCUACCCUUAUCCAAGAACAACAAUUCUAAGAAUCAAUAGAGAUGUUUAAUGACCCGUUUCGAUCAACGAACCAAGUUACCCUGGGGAUAACAGCGCAAUCUACUUCGACCAUAUCAACAAGUAGGUUUACGACCUCUGUUGGAUCAGGGUAUCCCAGUGGUGCAGC
rnacentral:rRNA from 1 species